GUAGUAGUGUUAUUAUAGUUAACAAAAUUAGAGUGAUUUUGUGUUGAUCACCAUGCAAGUUUGUUUUAUUCAAAUAACAUAACUAUUUGAAUUAAGAUAUAUGGUAUAUAGCUUUGUUCGAAUGGAAUCAAAGUUUAUGGUUAGCAUAUCUAGUCGAGUAUAACUUAAAUCACAAAUAUCUAGGUGCAACACACGGACAUGCACGUGCAUGAAAAAAUAGUGUUAUAUCUGUUGAAUGCUUGGAGGAUAUGUCACCAUUAUUCAGUCGAACUGAAUUACAAAAUUUGUUAGGGUGUUGUGACUUUAAGCCUAUAAAUAUAUGAAAGUUGUGGCCGUGCUCACCACAACAUAACCAUUUCCUCCGAUCUAACUCUAUAGUGGCGCAAUAGCUCUACAACAUGUUCUCUUGUCUUGGUUUCCUGACCAAUAACAACAACAUGGCUCUAAUGCCACUACAACUCUUCAAAUCACUCCUGAUCGAAUUCCACAUCCAUUAUGUCCCUCUGCUUAGUCUCUGGUUUCCCAAUCUCUUGUAGGAGAUCUGGUUUAGCUCUUAUAUUUCUUUCCUGUCCAUAAUAACGCUACAACCACAUUUAGGUAUAAUGCUAUGAAGAUGAGCAGAGAGACACUAGGUCGUUAUCAUCAUCCAUGGUAAACUCCUCCCCAAAAGUGGUCAACAUGUGGUUCGACCUCACCAUGCUGCCGUUAGCUGAGGUGGCAUAGGUGGUGGACUGGACGUAAUGCCUGAUGACAUGAUGACUCAUUCAACCGGGUCACUUACACAUAGAUGAUUAUAACAGGUUGGUUGCUUGAUCGUUUAAUCUGCCUUGAUGAGUUACUACUAGGUGUACAUGGAUGUUGUUUUUGCAUCGGUAGCUAGGUCUGAUAAAAGCUAUUUGUCGAUGUUAUUAAAAAAACAAAAA
rnacentral:lncRNA from 1 species